CCCCCUCCUCCCCUCCAUCCUCCCUGCCACAGGAGCUACGGUGAGCUCCUUCGGCGGCCACCUUGGGUGGCUGAGAGUUAUCCCGUCCCCGUGGCCUGUCUGGCCGCCGACAGGAACAGUGGAGAAGGAGUAAGAGUAAAACAGCACCGCCCGCUCCCGUGCAUGGAGCCCUUCCCGGGCACCGGGAGCUAUGAGGCCAGCAUCUUCGCUACGCCCAUUUUGCAGAUGGACAGACUGAGGCUUCAAGUCCCACAUCCGGCGUGUGACCCUCCCAGGUGCCUGCCACGCUUCCGCCCCACCCCAGCCUCCACCUGGAGGAACCCGCCAAGGUUCUCCCCCGAGGGUCACCGGUGAGCCCCCAAACUCCAGACCUGCAGGGAGCUGCACCUGCUGCUUUUUCUGCUGGUGGCCUGGGAACGUCAGGAGAGAACUCAGGAGCCAGGGAAGGCUUCUGGGAGGCCCCCCAAGACCCUAGGAAUUUGGGGUGAAGACUAAAGCACAGGCAGGACUGUG